UAGCAAUAAGCUCAAUACGGUCCCAAUAGUCAAAAAGGAGAGUUGAAUACAGAAGAGCUCACUCACAGUGAUGCUGGUGUCCUUUUUGCCCUUAUGUGAUGAAGCAACAACAGCCAGGUACUGAAUGACCUUUUUGGUGUUCUCUGUCUUGCCAGCGCCAGAUUCACCUCUGAGGGGAAAGAAAAUAACACAAAGAAAGGCAAAUCUCCUACUGGGACUGCAGGUCAAGCUCUUUGAAGAUUUAGAAAUGUAUCCUUCUGUCUGUAAGGUAUCCUCAAGACUGAGAAAAAACAAGAUACAUUUUUUACAAAAGCAUAUCAACAAGAACAUAAGUAUUCUUCAUGUUUUACCAUGAACAGGAUUGUCAAACAUAUAUUGGAUGAAAAUUCAUAAAAAGGUGGGCCAAAAUCUCUAUUUCUACUGUGUAAGGCAUGUAAGAGGUUUCUGUGCUGCAGUCCAAUACACCAUAACGUUGCAGCACAGUUUAGAAGCACGUCUUGUCAUGUAUCUCCCUUGUUAUGUAUUUGGAGUUGGAGUUUCUCUUUACCUUCAGAACUUUUAGCACAGAAUUUUCUACCAAAAGGCUGAUCUCAGGACUUUAGGCUGUGAUAGUGAACACACUGAGGUUUCAUAAUGUGCUCCAUAACAUUAACGUAUUUCCCAAAGCUCCACUAAAAGAAGACUUCCAGAAAAGUCUGUGAUACUGACAGGCUUUUUGUUUUGGCCUCUAUGGCAAGAUGUGUGUUUAGCAUGUUUGCUGCGAUCAGUUCUGAAGUAGAACCCUUUUUUAAAACUGUGGAAAUGUUGAGCACCAGAAGAGGUUGUACAGAAAGGUGUGGUGUCUCCACCCUUGGACAUAUUUGCAAGUAGAAUUGAUUAAGGCUAUGUGCAACUUCCAUGGCACUGAAACUGGCCCUUCUUUGCAAGAGGCUGCCUCAAACUGCCUUCUACAGACUGUAGAAAAAUCUUCUGAAUAAGAAAACAAAUUCCCAAGUUGGUCAAAUGCGUAUUUGAAAUGUGUGCUUGGCUUAUAAACCUGAGACUUGAAGCAGACAGUUAAAUAAGGCAGAAGCAAAAAUGUCUGUAUAUUUAUGUGUUAUCCACCAUAUGCAGAGUGAGCAUUAGACCAGUAAAGCCUCUGGAUAGAGGUUAAGACACAAACCCAUUCCUCAUUUUAUUUUGUGAGUUGGUUGACUUGCAGGGCUACCUAUCUGGUUGCUCACCCUUAUCGCUGACCUCGCAUGUAGUAAAUGGCAUGAAAUAAACAAACUUUCUGUGCUGUGCAAGGAUAAUAGAGAUAAAUUCGGCCUAUUAAACUUACAAGUUGUAAUUGCUGCUUGGACCACAGCCAGCCUAGGAAAAGCAGUAGUGGAUUCUGCUUUGGCUUGGAUUGAUUUUAAAUAACUGUAUUUACUCCCAGUUGCUCAUUAACGUUCAAACCGAUGUUAUAACAUCAACUGCUUCAUUGAUCCCUUGCUCAGAAAAUGGCACCACUUAAGUGCUUUAGUUGGUAAAUUGGUACAAAAUGAAUCAUUACAUUGCUGUUGGAGGUAUUUGUCAACACUGCAGGACUCUUCCGCAUACACAUUUUGGAGGAGGGGAGCUGUGCGCCGUGUUUAUUUUUCACUGUAGGAUACUGAGCUUGGCUCUCUUUAAAAUUAAAAAAAUGAGAACGCAGUAGAAUUUUUGCUAAAAAUACACUGUUGUGUAAAUAGAAACCAUUGGCAUAUAUUGAUAUUACAUCACAAACCCAUAAAUAUCAUAAGGAAAAUAAAAGUGACUCCUUGAUACAGAGUUGCCAGUGGAAAUUCUGAGCUCAGGGAACAUUUGAAAAAGUAAUAUUCCUGCAAGCCAAGUAUUUUUUCAUUUCUCUGCCUGUUGCUGCCCCUCUUUCCCUCCCCAGUAAGUGAAAGACCUCUCUUGAUAGCGACUUUUAUAGAAGUGCACCAUAGGCAUUUGUGCAUAUGUGCUUUGUGACUCUGAUAGCAGUUUGCCUGAAGGCUGCUGGGAGUUCUUGGAGGGAAAAGCAAAAUUAUUUGUUUUUUAUUUUUCAUUUUUCAUCUUUUCCUUGUUAUCUUGAAUGGCUUCUAAGAUCACGCCUGUGCAAUCCGAUUUUUCCCUGUAAGUGGGCAGCCCUAUGGCUUUCUUGCAGAAGUCUGUGAGGAAACAGAAGGAAAACACUCCACUCUUGGUCACUGGACUUAUCCCCUUCUAAUGCCCCAAGCACUUGGCAGCCUUAUGAAGUCCCGAAGUAAUAAGCCCUCUGUUGCUGAGUUGUGCAGUCUGACCUGCAAAACCUCCCACUGACACACUGGCUGAUGCACAUUCAUGGAGGGAGAACAUGCAACAUUGCUCCAUUUCCUUCAAAAGUUUCAACAUAUUGCAAAGAGACAAUGGCAGAAGGCAGCAGAAUUACCCAUCCUCACUGGACCACCAUCACUGGUAUCUGGCAGCACUGCAGAAGCCAUCCAUCCACCCACUUCUGGCUCCUCUGCCCUGGAUCAUGGUGCCCUCUCAUGUGCUGCAUCAUGCCUUUGUGCAGCCACACUGCAUGCCAGGCUGCAGUAACCCACCCUAAAAUGAACCUAGCAAAAAGCAAGGAAUAAUUAUAUCCUGGACCAUUUCUAUGUGAAGACUGCAUGAAGACUGGUGCUGGGAGUAUUGGAAUGAGGAGGCUGAGCCCUUUGCAUAGCAACUGUGCAGUGCUAUUGCAACUGCAAUGAGAAGCCACUGCAUCCAUAACACAGGGUAUAGAGGAAGGUUUCCUUCCAGAAAAGACAUAUGAAUCAUAAGGUAUGAAGAUUCAUCAAGAAUUGGUGGAGUCAGAAUGUUAUUCCAAGCACCAAAAAAGUGAACAGAAAGAAGGGAAAGCAUCCACUUGUGCUGCAUCCUCCUCCCAGCCUGGGAGGCACAGCUACUCCUGGCUGUUCUAGAAGUAGUUAAUGACUGCAGUGAAGGAUGAUCAAGCUCAGGUGGCUUCACAAGACCACUUUAGAAACAACAGGAGAGAGGAAGAGUGAAAGAGGUCCUUAUGCUGUUGGGAUCAGGGAUAAACAGCAGAGUUCUGCGCUGAAUGAGAAGGGUACUGCUGAACUUCUUGCAUAGCUCCCCAGUGAGGCUUGCUGCUGAAAGGUUUUGGGAAAAGAAGGCUGCUUUGACUGCAGGGCCUGCUCACAACCCUGAGAAGUGCUGCAUGCAGAGCGCAGAGAUCCACGCCUGAUCUGCAAGGCAGAUACGUGGCUGAAGCUUUCAGGGAUCUGCUUCUACCAAACAAAGAAAUGAAGAGAGAGAAGAGAGUGAAGAGAAUGAAGAGAGUGAUUUGCACUAGCAUGGCAGGAAAGAGCCCCAGCAGCAAGGCAGCUUCCGAUGACAGGUAGGUUUUAUACAGAUGGCUCUUAAUCUAAGUGGUUGAAUGUGCUAGUGGUGGUAACAUAGCAAACAUUGAGGGCAUACACAAAUUUGCUUGCUUCACCCAACAGUCGGUUAUAACUGAUGCAAAGCUACCAAAGACUUCAAGAUGGAUUUGAUUAAGAUAAAUUUGCACACACGUCCUCUCCUCUUGGAAACAGUCCUGAGAUACUUAUUUAUAAAUAAGCAAAUGGAGAGCUGUCAGCAUUGCCAGUCACACAAAGGGGAUGAGCUCACUCCUGAGCCUUGAAAUAGAUAAAAGUAGCUUCUCCUUUAAAGCCACAGCUGUGCUCUGCUAUUUCACAUUAAAGUAGAGCCUAGGCUGCUUAUCAAAAUAAGAAAAUACCUACAAUGCUAAUUGGGUCAAAUUAAGACUAAGGGAAAACACCAUAGAAAACAUCAUAGAGACUGUACAGCUCCAGGUCCUUUCAGUAAAAUUUGCAAACUGUACAUUAACUUCCUUCUCUUUUUUCCACAAACAUUUACUGUACCAUUUAUUUAACAACUACACAAAACUACUCUCAGUACCACUGGAAACAUUAACAUGCAUCAAUUUGUUAAAAAGAAAAAAAAUAGAUUACGUGAUAUUUUUUAGGUACCACUACAAGGUCUACUUCUAUCAGUAAAAACAUCCAAAUAUCUCAGCUAAAAAAAAGUCCUGGGAAUCUGUAAUUUACUAUCAACUUCAUUUUUAACUCUUCCUGCCUUUACUUUCAUGUAAUUUGGGAAAAAAAUAGAAGUUCCUCCCCCAUCCCAUAUACUUAGUGUUACACUGUACAAUUUAUAGCAACUCCAGAUGGAAAAACCUUACCCUCGUUUGUUUGCUGGCAUAAAGAUAAAUAUAGUCCUCGUUUCCGGAGAAUUAAAAACAACUAUUCCUCCAAAGCACUGCAGUUUUCUUUUCAAAUUUAUUUUCCCAUACAUAGCA